UGUAUUGUAAGAUUAUUUUAAAAUGCCAAAUGCGAAAUUAUUAUUUUUGCAUUGAGCUGUGUAUUUGUGUAAUACAUAUAUAAAUAUUUGUAUGUCUCUGUGUUUGUAUAUGUGCGUUGGACUGAAGAUCUCAAGAAACUGGUAGUUCUUGUGACUUUCUCUUCUAUUAUGUUAAUCAUUUCAAUGUUAUUCUUCCGUUGAUCAUGGAGAUUUUGGGGUUGUACUGCUCAAGUUUAUCCGUUUGCAACAUAAAUGAUAUUUCGGUGUUUAUAAAUUUUCUAUGCAUUCUUCAUACUGAAUAUAAGUAUGGCAAUUGAGUCUAGACAAAUUUUUUUUUUUUUUCUCUCCCUGAGAUCAUUGGUUUUGUUAGUUUCUUAGUUUUAUUUUCGUGCAUAUGGAUCCAGUUGUGAACCUCUGUUCUUGCCGUGCCAUCCACCCUCAUCCAUGAUUUGCUGAUCUGUUCCUAGAUUUUGAAGUCUUAAAUUUAUCUUUCUUUUCUACCUCUUAAAUUUUUAUUUAUCCGUGGGUAUCUAAGGGUGGGUAUGUGUGGAUAUUUGAGAAAAUGUAAAAUUUUAAAUAAAAAGGUAAGAAAUAACAUAAAACUAAAAUUAAAUGAUUUUGUAACAUUAUUUACACUAAAAUAAAUAAUUAUGACACAUAAUUUAGUGUAAAAUUAAAUUAAAUUAAACUACUUUAUAUAUUAUUAAGAGUAUUUUUCAUAUUUGGUAUGAACAUUCUUCAAUUUACCUUUCAUGAUUUCUGCUUUGGGAGUCAUAGGGAACUCAAUUACCGGAAGUAUAGUUGGUUAUGAAAGCAAGGUCUAAUCUUAUUGAAUUAUUUGGUGAUCGUUACCCUAGAUUCUGAAUUCUUGGAUCUGUCUGUAUCUAAUUUUCAUUGGUCUAGUAUGAGGAUUUUUUAUUUACUUCUCCCUGAUUUCAUCUUGGGUCAUACAGGGAAGUCUAGUGAAUGUCUGGGUUGGAUGCGGAAAUAGUGGUGUUAUCGUAUUGCUGGUUAUCCAUAUUGAUUAAAUCUUUCUGCUAAUUCUUGGUCUACUUGCAUUUUUUAUUUGCCUCAUUCUAGUUCCAGAUGAGUUAUCUUCGUGAGAGUUGCUGAUAGAAGAUUGAAUGAAUUAAUUAUGGAAUUCUUGAAUAUGUGGGCUAGAUUGUGGCUACUGUUAAAUUUAAUGUCUUUGACUUUGUACUGUAGCUAUUUUUUCUAUAGUGGGUUGUGACUAGUUUUGUUUAAUCUUCUGUAUACAUUGGUUUGAAGUGUGAAUUGGUGAUCUCCACCUGGCUUUUUUUUUUAAUUUUGGGAUUUGUCUUUUUUGUAUCCAUUUUACUCAUUAGGUUUAAUAUCCCUUGGCACAUUUAUAUGUUUAUUCUUGACUUUAUCUUUUAUGGAUUCUGGACUUGUUAAUAAAAACUUAACUGUGUAGGGUAAUUCAGGAAUAUCAUAUUUCCUGGCUGUUUCUGUAGUCUUGAAUUUGUCAUUUCAACUAUGUGAGGCUUAAUAAAAAAUUGUAAGACGAAGCUUUACAGGGAAAAUGAACAAUGAGUAUACCAUGAGCUAUGAAAGCAAUGGUAGGAGAGUACUAUUAGCCAAAUUUUUGCGAAAAUCCAUAGAUUUUUAUUGUCCUUACUGUAUUUUGUUAUGUUCAUAUUGGAAUCGUUAUCUUAUUCUGUUUGUUUUGGAUUGGUUGUUUUGACUGUUUAGGGUCCUGGCGGUGUCAGAGUUCUUGGAUGUUUCUGUAUCUGGAAUUAUACGAGUAUUGAUGGUUUCUGCUUCUAUUGAAGUACGUUAUGAAUUUUGAGAUUUUGUAUCCAAUUUUUCCACUAAGAGCAUUUAGUUUUUUGAUUUCAUUCUCGGUGAUUUUCCCUAGUGUCUCGUAGGGAAGAUGAACAAUAAUUUAUAUAGGGCUGUUGAAGGCAGAAGUUGCCCAUUGGCAUUGUGACUUCUGAUGAUUUUACUGUUAGCAGAAUUUAAUUUGAUUACAUUAUAACCAUUGAAUAAACCCCCUUUGGCCUAAUUAUUUCCUAUAUGUUAAGUACGUUACUAUGGCUUAGCUUAUGGUUUUGAUUUGCGCUCAUGUCUGGUUCCAUAAUCGAGUUGUGUUGUUUGAUCAUGUUUUGCAGCUUGCCGGGUCUGUUCCUGGUUUUAGAUUACGCUAUUCUUGAUACAAUGAUUUAGAGCAGCUAACAGCUUUUGGAAAAUCAAUUUCUUCGAUGAGUUUCCUCUAUUAUUUUAUUUCUCUGGAUUGAGCACCAAACCUAGGGAUUGAAUUGUGUUUUUCUACAGCAUAGUUUUUACGCUAUUCUUGAUUUUGGUAAAUCAAUUUCUUCGAUGAGUUUCCUCUAUUAUUUUAUUUCUCUGGAUUGAGCACCGAACCUAGGGAUUGAAUUGUGUUUUUCUACAGCAUAGUUUUUGGAAUUGUUUUGGUGUCCUUCAGCACACCAAGCCUCCGCAUUAUUUGGUAAUGUCUCCCGAAGUUUUAUUGUAAUAUUUCUUUUUGUUUAUAUACUUAGUCAUCUAUUAUGUGGGUUUGAUUAUUGUACUAGAUUUGGUAUCGCUUCAAUUUGCUGACUUUGUAAAUGCCUUUGGAUCUUUUAUGUUUUUGCUAAAUGAGCAUUAUUUUCAAUCCCUGUUUGGGAGGUUUUAUGUUUUACUGCCACAAAGGUUCUUUGAUGCUAUUGCAUAGGAUCUUCCCUUUUCUGAAAAUGAAUAAGCUUAAAGUUUUCUUCUGUUCCUGUUUUUUGGUUGUCUUUUCAUUUUUAUACUCUUUAUAAUGAGAAUUUUAAGUGUUGACUUUUCAUUUUAAAAUUGUACAGAUUAAUCAAUGAAUAUUUGGUAUCACUUCCAUUUGCUGACUUCUUAUGUGGAUUUGAUUUUGUUUUCAUUUGAUUUUGUUUUCAAAUGGAACUGUUGUAUUUGCUUUGUGUUCCUGUAAUCAAGAGAUUCAGUACUAAAGUUACCAAAGUUGAGACCCCCAAAUGACCCCCUUUUGCAUUACAUUGGACCUGAAUAAUUUCCCUUCAAUCUCAGUUUGAGCGGUUUUAUUUUGGAAAAUGAAUAAGCUUAAAAUUAUCUGUUUUUUGGUUAUAUUUUGUAUCAAAAUCCACAGACAUGUAGACGGUUGAAUCAUAACUUGAAUAAGUUUCUUUGGCAGGAUUUUCCUUGUAUUUUUAAGAGUAAUGUAGGUUUUUUUUUAUUUUUUAAUUUUAGAAUGAUCACAUUAAUAUUAUUUUUGCAUGGAGUUGUGAGUGUGUGUAUACAUACAUUUGUUCAAGUAAUUUUGUUAACCUGAUUCCUCCUUUGUUCUUGAACUGUUAUUUGAAUUUUCAAUCAAGCUUGACAAGAUUGCUUAAAUGAAAGCAUGUAAAAAAUGUUUGAUAAUAAUGCCUCCUAUGAUUAUUUUUAUACUUAUGAAAGUCUGUGUUCUACUUGUGCAUGAAAUUAGUUAUAUAAUCCAACUUAUCUUUGAUACAAUACUUAUCUUUUAAUUUUUUCCCCCUGUCCUUCCCUUUGAUCUACCUAAUAAUGAACUUGUAUGUGAAUUAAGUUUUACAUAAUUUAUCAUGUGGCAUUUUUUUCAUAGAACUAUUUUCUCUUUGUUAAUAUGGUUUUUCUUUUGUAUUUGUUAAGUGUCUUUUUUCUUAGUUUUAUGAUGUGCUUUGGACUGAAGAUCUCAAGAAACUGAAAGUUCUUGUGAGUUGUGACUCUUCUAUUUCAUCAAUCAUUUUAAUAUUAUUCUUCAGUUGAUGAUGGAGAUGUUGGCACUGUUCACUCAAUUUCAUUUUGUUUUCAGCAUGCUCAAGUACAUAAUAUAAUUUAGAACAAAUGAUUUUGGAGUGUAUCAAUUUGCAAUCCAUUCUUUGUGCACAAGUAUGAAAAAUAGGACAGCUAUAAAGUCUAAAUAAAUUUAAUUUUUGUUCAAUGGAUCUCUGUAUUGUUAGUUUCCAUAUUUGAUCACGGGGCAUUUAGAUCGAAUUUUGAACCUAUAUAUAUUUUUUGCAUGUAGUGUUGAGAAUAGUUUGGUGUUAUGUUCUGCAUAAGCAUCCAGCCUCAUGCAUGAUUUGGUGAUCUAUACUACACUGGGUUCUCAAUUCUAUGAUUUGCCUUAUGUUUUUUACUUUUCUUUGGUCUAGUAAAAGUGAAAUCUGAUUUACUUAUAUUCUUGAUUUCUUCCUGGUCUCACAGGCAGUUAAUGUGUGGUUGGUUGUGGACAUAGAGACUAUCUUGUUAAAUGACUUGGUGAUCUCUACCUAUGGCUUUUUAAUUCCCCGAUUUUAUUUCUACAUUGCAUUGGUCCAGUAUUAGCAUUUAGCUGUUUACAUCAACAAAAUUUUCCUUGGGUCUUACAGGGAAGACUAGGGACUGUGUGUUGGUUGGCAUCAGAAGCAGUGGCUAUCUUGGAUGUUUCUGUAACUGGAAUUUCUUCUAGGUAACAUGAACAAUGAAUUCGUGAAAGGCUAUUGUAGCAGUGGGCGGAGAAUGAUAUCCGGGCUUGUGCAAGAGAUUCCCUUACUUGGAUAUCAUCUUUGUAACACUAACAUCAUAUUUGGAGUUGGAUUUGUUUGUUCCGUUUUUUAUUGAGCACCGGAAUUUCCUGAGUUUCUCUUGGGUCCUAGAGCAAAGAUAAGCAAUGAAUAUGCUGUCUAAGCAGUGUCAGGGGAGGCAAUGAGGUUCUGUUCUAUGUUGUUCACUCUACUAUAAAAGUUCCUUUGGGUAUAUAUAUAUACACACACACACACAUUUUUUUUUUUUUUUUACAUCUAGGCUGUUUAUUUGAAUCUUGUUUUUGGAGGUAGUGAAAGCUGUGGUGGUAGAUUAUUGACAGACUUUCUAUGAAGCCUUUGGUUUUAUUACUCUCACUUUAAUUAUUUUCUGAUGUGUUCAUUCUAGACUCUAAUAUCUUCCUAUGGCGGAUUAUUUUCUUUUGUAGGCUUUGGUAGCCUGGUAGUGUGACAGUUAUUGUGGGUUUCUAACUGGAAAACAAGUCUAUUAGUGUCAUUGGAGUCAAACCGUUAGGGGGAUAAUUCUUUUGUUACAUUGCCUUCUCUACAGAGCAAUAAGAACAUCGUUUUUGGGCCAUUGACUCUUUGAUUUGUUGAUCUCUACGGAUAUAUAUCAAUUAUUAUUAAUUUUUUGGUGUCAUCAUAAGUGUUCAAUCAGAUCUUAAAAAAUAUUAUGUUGUUCACUCUACAACUGAAGUUUCUCAAAAUGUUUGCAUUGUAACUUCAGUGAGUUGCUGUAGUGUGGAGUAUUUUUUUUUGCAGCAUGUAGGCAUUGAUGCAAAAUAUUUAAUUUUGGUGACCUCUUACUCAUCUUCAAACCAAUUUUAAGUGUUGAACUUCUGACUGCUAUUUAUUUAUAUUGAUCAAUUGAUGAAUUUUUCUUAUUUUGGCAUCACGGGUUGUUGUCUAUCUUGAUUUUCUUGAAUUCCUAUGGGUUGCUUUUUGUGAGUGUCAUGUGUAACUGCUGAAUUUAUCUUAUGUUUUCUAUUAGGGUUAUAACUUUAUGUGAUGCUUUAGACAACAAAUUUGUUAAGAUUAGAGUAGCGAGGAUCUAUUCAAUUUACCAGACUAUAACAGCAACGAGUUGAGGAAUAUGUGAUAUUAUUUUGGUGACCUCUUACUCUUCUAACCCAUUUAAGUAUUAAAAUUCAGACUAUUUAUUUAUAUUGAUCAAUUUAUGUAUUUGCUGAUUUGGGCAUCACUAGUUGCGUCUAUCUUGAUUUUCUGUAAUUUCUUUGUGGGUUGCAUUUGUGAGUGACAUCUGGAACAACUGGAUUUAUAUUAUGUCUUUGUAUAAGGUUUAUAACUUUAGUGAAGGUUUAGACAACAAAGCCGUUAAUUUCUUUAGAUGAAAGUAGCAUGGAACCGUUCAAUCUAAUGGAUUAUAUCAGCAAGAGUUGACAAAUAUAUUAUGUAUUUUCUUAGAGCUUGUUUCCUUGUUUCUUUGAUGAGCAUUUGUUAAUCUAGGUAGCUUGAUUGUCUAAUUUAAUUUCUUUGACUUGUUAAUCUAGGUAGCUUGAUUAUUUGAUUUAAUUUCUUUGAUGUGUUUGAGUUGUCUAUCUUCUUAAUCGAGGAUUAUCAAUCUAGGUAAUUUGUGUUUUGUAUUUCUGAAAAUAAUUUUACCAUAUGAUAUAUAACUAUCGAUCUAGGUAACCAAAUUGAAGGCAGUAUUGUAUUGGAGAAUGUCCUUUUCUUUUGCAUUUGAUAUGUUAGCAAGAACUCAGGACUAUUUGAUUUGAUUUCUAUAAUAAUUACUCUGUCUUGUUAUUGUUUUCUGCAUUUAUUGCACAACACAUGGAUUGAAUUUUGAAAUUGAUUUUGCAGAGUUUAGUGUUUUGACAACAGAUUAAUCAAUGAAUAUUUGGUGGGUUUGGUAUCCUGAUCUUUUGCCGACUUUCUAUGGGAUUUCAUGUUUCUGUCAUCUCAAAAUGUUGGGUUACUUUUGUGUUUCUGCGUCAGGACUAAAGUCGCCAAAGUUUAGAGAUCCUAAAAUUUCACCCUUUUGGAUUACUCUGUAUCUAAAUAACUUCCAUUCAAUCAUCAUACUAUUAUUUUUCUUAUGUACAAUCUAACUGAACUUUUUUGAUAAUUCCAGAUCGAGAGGUUUUAUUGCCAGAAAAGCUUAUCCAUGCUACUGCACAUGACCUUUCUUUUCCUGGAAAGUCAUAAGCUUAAAUAAUUUUAUCUAUUUUAUAUUUUGUAUUGAAAUCCGAAGGCAUGUAGAAUGUUUGAAUAAAAGCUAAAUAAGCUUGUCUUGUAGUAUUUUGGAUGUUUUAUAAUAGUAUUGUACAAAUUAUUUUUUAAGUCAUUAUUAAUAUUUUUGCAUUGAGUCGUGUAUUUGUGUAAUACAUUACAUAUAUAAAUAUUUGUGUCUCUAUGUGUGUGUGUAUAUGUGAUUUGGACCGAAGAUCUCAAGACACUGAAAGUUCUUGUGACUUUUGCUUCUUCUUUUACAUAAAUCAUUUUAAUAUUAUUCUUCAGUUGAUCAUGGAGAUUUUGGGGUUGUACAACUCAAGUUCUUUCAUUUGCAACAUAAAUGAUAUUUCAGUGUUUAUCAUUUUGCUAUCCAUUUUUCAUACAAAAAAAGUAUGGAAAAUUGAGUCUAGACAAUAAUUUUUUUCAGUGGGAUCUUUUGUAUUGUUAGUUUCUUAAUUUUUUCAUGCAUAUGGAUCGAGUUGUGAACCUCUUCUCUUGCAGUGCUAUUCAGCCUCAUCCAUGAUUUGCUGAUUUGUUCCUAGAUUUUGAGUAUUUCUCAAUUUACGUUUUCAUGAUUUCUGCUUGGGACUCUCAGGGAAAGUGUGGUUGGUUGUGGAAACAGGGGCUAAUCUUAUUCAAUUUUUUGGUGAUCUUUACCCUGGAUUCUGAAAUCUUGGGUUUGUCUGUUUCUGAUUUUCAUUGGUCUAGUAUGAGGAUUUUUUAUUUACUUCUCUCUGAUUUCAUGUAGGGUCAUACAGGGAAGUUUAGUGAAUAUGUGGGUUGGAUGUGGAAAUAGUGGUGUUAUCUUAUUGCUGGUUAUCCAUAUCGAUCAAAUCUUUCUGCUAGUUAUCAGUCUAGUUGUGUUUAUUCAUUUUUCUCAUGCUAGAUUCCAAAUGAGUUAUGUGUUUUAUCUUCGUCGACAGAAGAUUGAAUCAAUAAAUUAUGUCAUUAAGGAAUAUGUUGGUUAGAUUGUGGCUACCGAUAACUUUAAUGUCUUUCACUUAGUACUGUUUCAUUUUCUGGAAUUGAUCACAGGAAAUAUGGAUUGAAUUUGAACCUGUUUCUUCUGCAGUGGGUUGUGACUAGUUUUUUUUUAUAAUGCACACGUUUGAAUUGGUGAUCUCUACUUGGCUGUUUUUGAAAUUUUGGAUUUGUCUAUUUUAUAUCCAUUUUACUCUUUAGGUUUAGUUUUCCUUGGUACAUUUAUGUUUAUUCUCGACUUUAUCUUUUAUGAGUCCUGGACUUGAUAAUAAAAACUUAACUGUGUAGGGUAAGUCAGAAUUAUCAUAUUUCGGCUGCUUCUUGGUAAGGAAUAGUAUCAGUCUUGAAGGCAAUGGUUUCAUCCAUCUCAACUUUAUCAUUUACAUCUCAACUUCACCAUUUCGACCAUGUGAGGCUUAAUCAGUAUUGUAAAAUUAAGCCUUACAGGGAAAACGAACAAUGAGUAUACCGUGAGGGGUGGAAAAAAUGGUAGGAGAGUACUAUUAACAAACUUUCUGUGUAUGUCCAUAGGUUUUUAUUACCUUCAUUGUUAUUUGUUAUGUUCAUUCUGGACUGGUUAUCUUAUUAUUUGUUAUGUUCAUUCUGGACCGGUUAUCUUAUUAUGUUGGAUUAGGAUUGGUUAUUAAGAUAAUGUAGGUCCUGCCAGUGUCAGAGUUAUUGGAUUUUUUGUAUCAGGAGUUGCAGGAGUAUUACCGGGUUCUGCUCUAUUGAAUUAUAUUCUUAUUUUUGAGUUUUUGUAUCCCUUCUUCUUUAUCCAUUAAGAGCAUUUAGUUUUUUCAUUUCAUUUUUGGGGAUUUUCUCUGGCAUCUUGUAGGGAAGAUGAACAAUAAAUUUAUGUAGGGCCAUGGAAAGCAAAAGUUACCGAUUGGUCACUGACAACUCUGGAAACGAUAAUUCUUGUGUUCACUUCAUUGGCAAGAAUUAUUGCUUGGGAAUUGCAAUUCAAGAUGUAUGUCAAAGGGAAAGGAUUAUGUGGUCACUUGGAUGGGAUUUUGACAAUAUAGGCAAGCGUUUUCAGUUGGAGUUGGAGAAGCUAAUUAGAAACAAGGGCCUUUCUCUUCAUUUAAGUGUGCAAGCUCUCCUUAUAUAGUCUGAAGUAGGCUCCUAGAGCAUGGUAUGACAAAUUUCGUUUCACUCUCCUUGGUUCCGCUUUACAUAGAUAAAUAUGAUUCCUCUUUGUUCAUUCACCAUACACCUAUUGACAUUGUUCUUCUACUCCUUUAUGUUGAUGAUAUGGUUAUUAUUGGCUCUGAUCAAGCAUCCAUCCAAGAACUUAAAAAUAAUUGCACUCAUUUCAUAUGAAAGACCUUGGCCACUUCCAAAGGUACAUUUCUCCAUCAGCAUAAGUAUGCCAUGGAUCUCAUCUCUAUGGUCGGCCUUCAAUCAGCUACUCCAGUGGACACUCCUCUUGAUGUUAAUGUUAAAUAUCAUCAUGACGUUGCUUUUCGCCAGAUUCUUUAUUGUACCGAGCUAAUUACUUGACCAUUACACGCUUGACAUCUCAUUUGCUGUUUAGCAGAUGAGUCAGUUCAUGCAUUAUCCUCAACAUCUCCACUUGGCAGCGGUUUGUUGUAUAAUUUACUAUUUGAAACCUUACUCUCAGCAAGGUUUAUUUUAUUCCACUGGAACACCUCCUAAAUUGAUUAUUUAUAGUGAUGCCGAUUAAGCUGGGUGUCCUGACACUUGACGAUUAGUCACUGGUUGGUGCAUGUUUCUAGGUUCCUCAUUGAUCUCGUGGAAAAGUAAGAAGCAAGCAUGCAUAUCUAAAUCAUCUAUUGAAUUAGAGUAUCGUGCCAUGUCUACCGCUUGUUCCAAAAUAAUUUGGCUUUGUGGUCUUUUGGUUGAACUUGGAUUUCCUUGGACAGAUCCAACACCUCUCUAUGUUGACAAUACAAGCGGCAUCCAGAUUGCUGCAAAUCCAGUGUUCUAUGAAGCACCAAGCCGACUGUCACUCUAUUCGUGAUGCUUAUGAUGAUCUGGUUAUUUCACUCCCUCACAUUACUACUCAGCUUCAAGUCUCAGAUAUUCUUACCAAGACUGGUCCUUGACCGUGUCAUCAGUUUCUUGUUAGCAAAUUGAUGUCGCUUGACCAGCCCCAUCAAUUUGAGGGGAGAUGUCAAUUAGGAAUUAUUUUGUAUCUUUAAUUAUUUUGAUUUGAUUUCUUAAGAAUGAACGAGGCAAAUCAUAGACUGGUUUGUUCUUUUUAAUUGUAUAUAUUAGAAUAUUUUGUAAUUAUGGGUAAUAAUUAUUGUAAAUAUUCUUAUCAUUAUUUAUAGAGGAAAUAACAAUACAGAAAAGGGCAUCAAGCCAUUUUUUGUGACAUGGCAUUGUGACAUCAUAUGAUUUAACUGUUACAAGAAUUUAAUGUGAUUGCAUUGCAUUAUAACCGUUUUACCAUCUACUAGAUAAUCUCAACCGUUAAUCCUGACCUUGCCCUUUUCUAUAUAAACGCCCUUUGGCCUAAGUAUUUUCCUCUAUCUUAAAUAGGUUAAUAUGGCUUAGGUUAUGGUUUUGGUUUUCGAUUAUGUUUGGUUGAUUAUCUCAAUUUCAUGAUUUUGACGUUUGAUGUUCAUAUUCUUACGAUCUGGUUCCAUAAUCGGAUUGUUUUGUUUGAUUAUGUUUUGCAGCAUGCCAGGCUUGUUGCUGAUUUUAGAUUCUGCUACUCUUGAUACAAUGAUUUAGAGCAGCUAACAGCAAAAAUCAAUUUCUUCCAUGAGUUUCCUCUGUUCUUUUAUUUCUCUGGACUUGAUCACCAAACCUAGGGAUUGAAGUGUGUUUCUACAGCAUUGUUUUUUUGAAUUGUUUUGUACAAAUGUCCUUCAGCACAUCAAGCCUCAGGCAUGAUUUGGCGAUGUCUCCCUGAGUUUUUGAAUUAUCAUAAAUUUUCUGUUUCUAUAAUUUGUCAUCUAUUAUGAGCAUUUUGUUUCCUCAAUUUAAUUCUACGUGACUUCUGCUUAUGCCUUGCAAUGAAGAAAAGCAAUGGAAACAGUUGCGGGAGAUUAUUGACUGACUUGCUGUUAAGCCUCAGGCUUACAUAGUUUAUUUACUGGCUAUGUUAACUUCUUGGUUGGUUCUUCUUUAGUGGUUUUCUUAUGUGUUCGUUCCUGAUUGGUUAUGCUAUCUUGUUGGCUGGAUUCUGAUUGGUGGUUUUGAUGGUGUUCGAUUACAUGGUAGUGUUGGAGUUCUCCUGUGUUUCUAACAGGAAUGAUAGGAGACCAAAAGAGGCACUGUAGUUUACCAUUUGGGACAUCAUGGUUGGACCUUUGACUAUUAUGAUAUUUGAUGGUUUGCUUCUUGGUUUGGAAAAUUCUACCACUCUUCUUUUACCGUUUCCUUGAUAAUUUUCAAUAUAAUCUACAGAAGUCUUCCCUCUUCCAAUUGAAUGACCUCUUCAUCGUAACUGCACAAGACCUCCCUUUGGAAUAGGAAUGAUUACUUGCUAUAUUGAACACGAAAUCUGUAAGUGUGGAAAUUUUGUUCCAAAUGUUACUAUGUCAAAUCUAUUUAUAUGAUUGUCUAGAUUUUUUUUAAUGCUGUGACAUCUUAUUGUGUUCCCUAAAUAAGUUCCCUUCAAUCUCUACUGCUCUGUCUCUGUACUCUGUACAUGCCUUGAUAAGUUUUAAGAUUAUUUUCUGUUCCAUUUUUAUUGGCUUUAUCAUUUCAUUUUUAUACUCCAUAUAAUGAAAACUUAAAGUGUUGACUUUUGAAUCUUCGAUUGUUCAAAUUUUACAGAUUAAUCAAUGAAUAUGUACUGGUAUCACUUUAAUUUUCUGACUUAUGUGGAUUUAAUUUUUUUUUUCAUAUGGAACAAUUGUAUUGCCUUUGUGCUCCUGUACAAGGAGAUUCAGGACUAAAAUCACCAAAGUUUUGAGACCCAAAUUUCCCCCCUUUUGGAUUACUCUGGAACUGAAUAAUUUUCCUUCAGUCUCUGUACUUUGUAAAUGCCUUUGGAUCUUUUAUGUUUUUGCUAAUUGAUGAUUAUUUUUAAUGCCUGUUUGGGAGGUUUUAUGGUCUUACUGCCAAAAAGGUUCUUUGAUGCUAUAGGACCUUCCCUUUUCUGAAAAUGAAUUAGCUUAAAAUUAUCUUUUGUUCAGUUUUUUUCGUUUUAUCUUUUCAUUUUUAUACACUUUAUAAUGGGAAUUUUAAGUGUUGACUUUUGAUUUUUUAAAUCGUACAGAUUAAUCAAUGAAUAUGUACUGGGUUUGGUAUCACUUCCAUUUGCCGACUUCUUAUGCGGAUGUAUUUUUUUUUUUCCCAUAUGGAACUGUUGUAUUUCCUUUGUGUUCCUCUAAUCAGGAGAUUCAGUACUAAAGUCACCAAUGUUUUGAGAUCCCAAAUGACCCCGCUUUUGGAUUACCCUGGACUUGAAUAAUUUCGCAUACCUUUGAAUCUUUUAUGUUUUUGCCAGUCAAACAUUUUUUUAAUCUCAGUUUGAGAGGUUUUAUUUUUGAAAAUGAACAAGGUUAAAAUUAUCUCAUUCUUUUUUUUUUUUUUUAAUAUUUUGUAUCAAAAUCCACAGGCAUGUAGAAGGUUGAAUCAAACUUGAAUAAGUUUCUCUUACAGGAUUUUCCAUGUAUUCCAUAGAGUAUUGUAUAGGUUAUUUUGUUUUUUUAAAAUGAUCAAAUUAAUGUUAUUUUUGCAUGGAGUUGUGUGUGUACAAAUACUUGUUUAAGUAUUUUUGUUUAUCAUGAUUCCUCUUUUUUCUAGAAUUUUUGUUUUUUGGACUUUCAAUUGAGCUUGAAAAGAUUGCUUAAUAUGACCGGAUGUAAAUGUUUUGCAAUAAAGCCUUUACCAAUUUCUUUCCUGCGAUUAAUUUUUUUUAGUAUAAACUAUAAUGUAUACAAUUCUUUUUGAUACCUCGUAUGAAAAUCUUGGUGUUCAACUUGUGCAUGAAAUUACUUAUAUAAUUAAACUUAUCUUUGACACAAAAAAAUUGUAGAUUCUCCCUAUCUUUUAAUUUUUUUCCUUGUCCUUACCUAUGAUCUACUAAUAAUGAACUUGUAUGUGAAUUAAAUUUUACAUAAUAAUUUAUCAUGUGAUACUUUUUUCUUAGAAUCAUUUUAUCUUAAAAAAUUAAAAAAAGAUUUUUCUUUGGAUUUUUUUUGUGCACAUCGAUGUUUGCCAUUAUUUAUAUUGUAUUUAAGAAAUCAUUUUCUUAUUUGGAAAAAUCAAUAAUGAAUUUUUGUUAAAGAAUAUUUUAGAACUAGGAGAAAGGAAAUCUGGAGGAGUAUAGUUUUACUCCUUAUUUAUAUGAUCUCUUACCUGUGACAUUGCUUUUCUUCUUAUAGGAAUGCCAGAGUCCAAUCAACUUUGCAAAGAACUGCAUAACAGUUGAAAAUCAAAUCAUUUCAGAUUACGUUCUUUGCAUUUAAAUUCUUCUUGAUACCCUGACAACCAUUUGUGUUUUUUGUAAAAGAACAUCUUGAUAUCAUCCUUGAAGGCUUGUGGGAAGAAUAUGAAAUAAUGUCUCUUAUCAGUAGUUAUUUCGACAUGCUGAAAUGGUAGAGAAACAAAAGAAAUAUUGCUGAAAUGAGAGCCCCAAGUCAGUGAAAGGUUUUCUUGACUUCAAAUUCUUAUUUCGAAUCUAACAUAAUCUCUCAAAAAUGAUUCCCCAAUUGCAUAACACUCCUUCUCUCUCUUCUAACUGACUACUUAAAUCUGAAUGGUUAUUGAAUUGAUGGGUACAAUUAAAGUAAAUAAAUAAGCAUAAAGCAUAAUCUCUGAAGUUUAGGGAUUCAGAUAAAACACUCCCUUAAGCUGGAGAUAUAUAUUAUAUGUGAUGGUAUUCUUGCUUGCAUUGAUAGAAUGGUUGAUUAAUGUGAGGAUACCUUAAUUCCUUAUUCCUUGGAAUCAAGUCCUUCAAGGGUAGUGUCCUUCAAGCGUAGUGUUUAGUGGAUGAAGUAUUUGAUGAAAGGUUUAAAGGGUAUUUUAGGUUUGAUUCACUUUAAAUAUUGAAUGUUGUUUUUAGGGUAGGGUGGUUUUUCUCUUGGUAGGGUUUGGUUGAAAAUAGCUAAGGGAGGUUAGUCUAGGGUAUUUGGAGGAUGAUUAUUUAAGAUACUCCGUAUUAUGGGAAAUACAAAUAAAAAUAAAUUUUAUGACUAAGACACAUCAAAAUAAGGUAAAAUAGGAAAUACAAGAAAAAUAAAUCUUAUGUCUAGGGUCUCAAAAUAUAAGGAUAAAAUAGGAAAUUAAGAAUAAGGGCAAAAAAUAGAAUAUCCAUAAAAAUUUAGGAGUUAAGAAUCAAAAGUAGCCUUAUUCCUUUCAUGCUUUUUUACUCUUAUGCUUUCUAAAAGUUAACUUAUUCUCUUGCCUCCUUUAAUAUAUCACCUCUUGGUCUUCUUGAGCUUAGUGUGAUUUUAUUAAUAUGCAUCUAGUUUAUUACAUGUAUAUGUUAUCUUAAGACCUCGUAAAUAUUUAGUAAUGAUAUUUGUAAGUUAAUCCUUGGAGCAAAUUAAGGAGGUCUUGAUUAAGCCGGAGUGUCUGAUGAAAUGACAGUCAACUUUUAUGUGAUUUCUCUCAUAAAAAUGGAUUAGAGGAGAGGUAUAAAGUUGACUGCUUAUUACAAACUAGUUCCAUAUGGUGUGAACUGUAAAGAGAGCAGUUGCAGAAUUGACUCUCUUUCAUUAAACCUGUAACUAUUAGGCUCAUUAAACCUAUAACUAUUAGGCUGAUUUUCACUGGCUAUUAUCAUCAACUAGAUGUUAAUAAUGUUUUUUUAAAUGAUGCAGCAUCCACCAGGUUUUGAGACUGAUUCUAUUAUGGUUUGCAAGUUAAACAAAGCUCUAUAUGGCCUGAAACAAGUUCCUAGGCAAUGGUUUGAUAGAUUACAAGCUACUCUGCUGCAGUUCUCUUUUCAUUUAUCACAUAAAUAACAAUAUUGUCAUGUCUAUCUUUUGGUCUAUGUAGAUGAUAUUAUCAUCAUUGGAAGUUCAUCUAAGUUUACUCUGUAGCUUAUAUGUCAACUCAAUGCUAUAUUUUCUCUAAAAACAUCUUGGCAAGUUGGAUUAUUUUUUGGGAAUAGAGGUCAAACACCAGCCAAAUGGUUCUAUAAUUC